rnacentral:lncRNA from 1 species
UGCAUGCAGGGCGGCCGCUGGCGAGUGAUCCGGUGGCGCUAUGGCGCCUGCAUCCCUCGCCUCUCCGAUCGCACCGGUCUGCUCCCUAAGCACGAAGUGGGUGCAUGCAGGGCGGCCGCCGACGAACGAGCCUGCGGCGCGGCGGUCUGCUCCCUGCCGGUUUGAGAUCCGCACUGGUCUCCUCUCUGCUGGCCAUUCUACGGGAAAGAUCGCUGAGUACUUCAUCUAAAUCUGCCGCAAACGACCAGCACUCUGUGCCAAGAAGUGGAAGUAUUUCCUCCCUCACACAUGCUCCCUGCCUCACAUGUGAUGUAAGUAUCGCAUCCCUCACAUGUGCUUCCUGACUCGCGUUCUUCUACAACAUAGAGUAUAUGUGGAUCAAAUUACUUCAUGUCUGCUAACAAAAUUACAUAUCCUAUGUGACAAUGGGUUAUUUUUCUCCUUCGAAAUUGAGGAGCUGGGAGAUAAUGCCACAGAAUAACAUAAGUAUUUCUGUUUGAAGUGUGUAUACUAUCCUGAUAAAAUCCUCAGAACGCAGAAGUGUAUGCAUUCUUGGUUUCAUGCACCAUAUUAUUGUUCAUGUUUGAGAGAUUGGUUUUGAGCAUGUGAAUCUGAGCUUCAAAUACUUUGCCUGAGAAACUUCAGUUAUUGAUAAACGACAGAGGAUGAAAAAUAUUCAGUGAUGUCUCAAGCAUUUCACUGUAACUAUAUUCUUGCACUUUAUGCCUCAUUGAUUCUGUUCUGUUGCAACCUGUCUUAAGGUGCAUCUGCUCCUUCAUUUCUUAAUCACUGUUUCUAUACAAUUUGAUGGCAAAAAAGCGUGGUGGCCGUGGCUGUGUUAUUCAUCACUGAGAGGAAGAAGAAAAGGGGGACAAGGAGCAAUCAUGGGCUUGGCCGGCGUGCUCGAGUGAAACAUGCCCGUUUUAGUGUGGGUCGAGGCACUAGGGCACGUUGUCGGUGUGGCUUGGUCGGUCAUUCCCUAGCUUAAUCAUCAUGCGUUUGGCUGAGGAAGCGAUCGCUAGCGCCAACCAGUACUCUGGCAGGCAAGUACCGCAACAAUUAGUGUGACGGUCGGCAUCAGACUGCGCAAGAAGACGGCUCUGCUCCAGCCCAAAUGCUG